rnacentral:tRNA from 1 species
GGGGCGGUACUUUAAAAAAAAGUUUUAAUUUGCAGUUAAUAAAAUAGGUUAUAGGCCUUCGCUCCA